rnacentral:lncRNA from 1 species
CCCUCAGUGCGCGUCUGUGUCCUCAUAGGUCGUCCCUCAGUGCGCGUCUGUGUCCUCAUAGGUCGUCCCUCAGUGCGUGUCUGUGUCCUCGUCACCUCUUCUUAUAAGGACACCAGUCACACAGGAUUAGGAUACACACAUACGACCUCAUUUAACUUUAACCAGGUCUUUAAAGACCCUUCGUCCAAAAGCAGUCACACGCUGAGGUGCUGGGCGUUAGGACUGCAGCAUCUCAGCCCGUAGCAGCCCCCUCCGGUCACACUGGACGACCCAGAGGCGAUCAUGCAGUGGGCAUCGUGUUUGCACAUGUGUUUCCAUGUGAGAGACCCAAAUUCAAGCGUGCCACGGCCCGCGGUGUACCCCAGCAGGGCACGCUCACGGUGGGCGCCCAGGCUCCAGGUGUAAAAAUGGCUUAAUCAG